GACGCGGCGGUGAUUCCGUCGGGCGGAGCGGCGGCGUUUCCAUCGGGAGGAGUGGUGGCGAUUCCGUCCGGUGAUUGUGCAGUCCUGUUGCGCAGUUUGCGGGAGGUGAAGGUGUCUUUGGUUUGCUGGUGGCUACGACACGGCUGUGAAGUUGGAGCUGAUUUCGUCAUGGGUCAUAGAAAAAGAUCAAAAGUGGAUAUUUCUAGUGAAUCUAACAGUGACAAUGAUUGUAGUUUGAGUUCUGAUAAUCAUGAUGGUGAUGUUCAUUUAUCUAAUCAUGAUGAAAGUUCUGAUAAUCAUGACCAACAUUUUGAGGAAAAUGAUCCUUUGCUUCAUUUAACUAAAGAAGAGCUUAUGAAGAAAUUGAAAAUAAAGCUUGGUAAAAGGCCAUUACAGAUGACCAUAAAAAGAAGAGAAAAACCUUUGAGAAAGAUAACCAACAAGGGUAAUGAUCUUAUGAAACACCCUUCAAAAACUAAUUUUGGAAUGGUCCAAAAGAGUUUUUCUGGAGCAUCACUUGCUAGACCAAUUGAGAUAUGUGACAUGCUGUUUUUCCCAAUAUUGCAUUUGAGGCAUUGGUUUCUGUUUGUUGUUGAUUUGAAAGAUGAGAGUUUUGUUUUCAUUGACUCCUUAUUUGAAGAAGAAGAAGACUAUCAAUACAAUGCUAGAUGCAGACUGAUAUCAAAAUUUUCAAUUGUAUGGAGGAAAUUUGUCCCUGAACAUCCAAUUAACUUUGCUAGUUUCAAGAUAAUAUACCCACCUCGUCCAAGACAAACAAAUCGCCUUGAUUGUGGUAUUUUUACUCUGAAAUUCAUGGAAAUUUGGCGUCCAAGAGUUCUGCUAACCAACCAGUUCUCUCAAAAAGACAUUCCUAACAUAAGGGUUCAAUAUGUCAACAAAUUGUUUUUCCAUCCAUGCAACAUUGUGCUGAACUCUGCAACAAAGAAACUUGUUACUGACUAUUAUGCAAAGAUCUGA
rnacentral:lncRNA from 1 species